rnacentral:ncRNA from 2 species
AGACAGCAGGACGGUGGUCAUGGAA